CCUACGGGAGGCAGCAGUGAGGAAUAUUGGUCAAUGGUCGGGAGACUGAACCAGCCAAGCCGCGUGAGGGAGGAAGGUACAGAGUAUCGUAAACCUCUUUUGUCAGGGAACAAAGUCUGGGACGCGUCCCCGGAUGAGUGUACCUGAAGAAAAAGCAUCGGCUAACUCCGUGCCAGCAGCCGCGGUAAUACGGAGGAUGCGAGCGUUAUCCGGAUUUAUUGGGUUUAAAGGGUGCGCAGGCGGUCUGUUAAGUCAGCGGGAAAAGCCCGGGGCUAAACCCCGCCCCGCCGUUGAAACUGGCAGUGUUGAGUUGGAGAGAGGUAUGCGGAAUGCGCGGUGUAGCGGUGAAAUGCAUAGAUAUCGCGCAGAACUCCGAUUGCGAAGGCAGCAUGCCGGCUCCACACUGACGCUGAGGCACGAAAGCGUGGGUAUCGAACAGGAUUAGAUACCCUGGUAGUC
rnacentral:rRNA from 1 species